rnacentral:rRNA from 1 species
CAGCAGCCACGGGAAUACGUAGGGCGCAAGCGUUAUCCGGAAUUAUUGGGCGUAAAGAGCUCGUAGGCGGUUUGUCGCGUCUGCCGUGAAAGUCCGGGGCUCAACCCCGGAUCUGCGGUGGGUACGGGCAGACUAGAGUGAUGUAGGGGAGACUGGAAUUCCUGGUGUAGCGGUGAAAUGCGCAGAUAUCAGGAGGAACACCGAUGGCGAAGGCAGGUCUCUGGGCAUUAACUGACGCUGAGGAGCGAAAGCAUGGGGAGCGAACAGGAUUAGAUACCCCAGUAGUCCCUGUCUCUUAUAC